GCAUGUGUGUGUGUACGAGCAGAGGAGAAGAAAGGAAAGGGGAGCCCUUCUCAAACCCUAAGCAACAAAUUGGAAGGAUUCUGGCCGAAAUCGAACCUGCAUGAACCUUAAUAGUGAUAAUCUAAGCAAGAUGUAACCAAGGAAACAAUGUUUAUGAGAACGUGUCAAGGAGAGCUCAAGCACAGGAGGAUAACGGGUCAAGAUAAGGCAAGGUGACAAAUACACUUAUUGGAGUACUCAAGGUAAUGCAGGAAUGAGAACGACGGAUUCUCGUGGAAUGGAAGCUGAACUCGGAACAAGAGAAUCCGAGAGAAUAGUCGGAUAAAUCAAAGUUUACGUUGUCGAAUGUUAUACUAUUUAAUUAUAUGUGAAUUUAGUUGUACGAUGAUGUCAAUGACUAAUGGUUAAGUUGUAUGUGAUGCUCACAUGUACUACUCGGACUUCUUCUACCUUUAAGGAUGAUAAGCGGGCGUGGAUCGAGUCGAAGAGCAAGGAUUGUACGGAAAGAACGGCUACAUAGUUUGAAAUACGUAAUGCUUUGAAGCGUUAAUUUAAUGUAAAUAUUGUAAACCUCUUCCAGUAAAUGCUUAACAUUUUCGUAUUUGAGCUUUUAUGUAAGUAAUGUGUCUAAUAAAGAAAGAAAUUUCA
rnacentral:lncRNA from 1 species